AUACGGAGGGCGCAAGCGUUGUUCGGAAUUACUGGGCGUAAAGCGCGUGCAGGCGGUAAGGUAAGUCAGAUGUGAAAGCCCCGGGCUCAACCCGGGAAGUGCAUUUGAUACUGCCUUUCUUGAGUAUGGGAGAGGAGAGUGGAAUUCCCAGUGUAGAGGUGAAAUUCGUAGAUAUUGGGAGGAACACCCGUGGCGAAGGCGACUCUCUGGACCAAUACUGACGCUGAGACGCGAAAGCGUGGGGAGCGAACAGGAUUAGAUACCCCAGUAGUCC
rnacentral:rRNA from 1 species